AUGAAUAUUCAAAUGGCCAUAAUUCCACUAAAAUAAUUUCUUUUUUGCAGAGCAAUGUCUACUCACAAGCUAAACCUUCCCUUUUCUGUUCCCGAGGAAAUGAUCAGCAAGGAAAAAGACAGUGGUAUUACGUAUGACUUACAUUAAGACAAGAGCCAGUAAAGGUGUAUAAGAACUCUUAGAUGUAUGAAGGCAGACAAGUCACAACAUGUGAUCAAAACGCAUGUGGUACUCUUGGGUAGUGGCUUGUCUGUUGAAGGGCA